UGAUACAGCUGCUAAUUAAUGUUUGGCAGCUCUUAGUUUUUUGAGCUUUGCAUCUCUGGAAGUCAAUAAGGUGGGGGCAAGCAGCCAUGAUUUUGUCCGUGUUUGUUUCGUUUGUGCAUGGUCAAUUUUGCAGGGUGAGAGCCUUGCAACUUUUUGGUUGUGACAUUUUUGUUUAUGAGAGUACUGAAACGAGAAAAUUCAGGAUAUCUCCUUUUGUAUUUCCGGUCUGCACAGUUUUUUCUGUGAGAUCUGUCAUCUUUAAGUCAGAUAAUUGUUAACUGUUUUCUUCGUA